UGCGUUGAACCAGCCUCAGAUCCAGUACAGUACUUGAUUAGUCACUUGGUUGUGUUCUUACAGGAAAGCUAUUCUUUGAUAAUUGCAAGAAAGAUGUUGAAAGUCAUCUUUCCAAUUCUGUCUUUGGUACUACUUGAAACCAGUGAAACAGAGUCACAAAAUGAUUUGACAAUAAACAGCGUAAAACUAAAACAUAAUCUUGAAGAUGUUGGAGAUAUUAAAGAAGGAAGCAACAUUACUCUGACUUGUUCAGUGGAUAUCCUGACAGCUUCUGGUCAACCACCUCAUAUUUCAUAUUUAAUCUAUAAGGGACAGAAAGAUGUCCUAUUGAAACGUGAUACAAUUGAGGCGCAAGAAUUUCAAUAUGUAAUACAAUCUGCUCGACCCUCACAUUCUGGAUACUACCAUUGUGAAGUGACAACAGGAAGUCAAAGGGAAGAAAGUACUUCCUUGUUUAUUACAGUUACAGGAAAUUUACAGACACCUGUACUCACUAUACAACCGAUGGAGGUGGUUCUGGGAGAUUCGACUGAGCUGUGCUGUACAUCUGAAGAAAUCCCUCCUCUUAGAUUCAUAUUCUAUAGAUAUAAAAAUGGACCAAACCCCCAGCGUCUCCAUGAUACUACAAGCAAUAACAAAUCUGCAACACACCGACUGAAGGUGACAGCAGAUGCAGAGAAAAACUAUAGUUGUACAGUCGAAGUGAGUGCUACCAGAAGUAUCUCAAAGCACAGUGAAAUAGUACAACUUACAGUACAUAGUCCAUUUUCAGAUCAAGUAUUUGAAAUUAAACCGUCAAAUGAAAUAUUUGAAGGAGAUAAUCUCACCACUGAAUGCAGGGUUACGCCUUUGUUUCCUCAUGUAAAACUUCAACUAAUCAUUAUGAAGGAUACAACUCCAAUACGCAUAGGAAAUACUAGCUCAGUGGUAUUUUCUAAAACAGUAAAUGCAGCUGAUACAGGAAAAUAUGGGUGCAUGGUGAAAUGGAAGAGUUUAUCUCAAACUAUAAAAAGACAAGUGACUGUGGCAGUACCAGUUUCCGUACCAACUUUAAUGUCAACACCCACUGACGGUAAUGUGGUUAAAGAUGGCUUUUUGAAUCUUUCAUGUGCUGUGUUGGGCGGAUCUUAUCCAAUAACUUACAAGUUUUACCAAGAUACAUCAGAAAAUCCUCUGCAUCAAAUAACGUUAAAUGCUACCAAAGCAGUCCAUCAUAUUGUUUCGGUUAAGAUUGGACACAGUGGAAAGUAUUCCUGUGAGGCAUCAAAUUCUGCAGAUCAUAUCACUCGAACAGAAAGAAGUCAGUAUGUUAUCAUAACUGUAAAAGUUCCAGUAUCCAGCCCAACAAUAAAAUGCAGCUCUUUAAAAGAUGUAUAUAAAACAGGAGAAUGGGUAAUCCUGCUCUGCCACUCAACCAGUGGGACCGUUCCUAUAACUUAUUCAUUGUUCUCAAAUAAAAGAUUCAUCUACUCGAUCUCAAGAUCUAAUACAGAGCCUGCAGCUUUUAAAGUUCUCUUAAAUGAAACCAAAGAUGGCGGGGAGUACAAGUGCAAAGCUGAGAAUGAAAUUCCAAACUUGUUCAAAUACAGCAAAGGAAUAAACAUUACAGUAAAAGUUCCUGUAUCCAAACCACUGAUUUAUCCUCUGUUGAAUUCUACCGAGGUGCAGUUAGGAGAGACUGUGACACUGCACUGCAUAACAAGCGCAGGAACUCUACCAAUCACUUACACACUGUAUCGGAAUCAAUCAAGUCUCCAAUCAGCUACUACAAUGCAGGCAAUUCCAGCAGGCUUUAACAUAACAGUACACUCAAUGGAGCAUUCUGGAGUAUACAGCUGUAAAGCUGAAAAUCAAAUUUCUUCAGAACGCAGUAAUGGAUUAUCAUUUCAUAUUUUAUGUACUCAAUGGUGGAUAUACAUAACAAUAGUCUUAUUUUCACUAGUGAUAAUAGGACUGGCAAUAUUAAUAGCUCGAUUUCGUAAGCUGUGCUCCAAGAAUAAUGAAGGUAUAAGCCAAGAGGAUGAAAGCUGUAAACAAGGUCAGAGUGGGCCUUUUCAACAUAAUCAAGGAUCUCUGAAAAAGACGAAGGAGGUCAUUUAUAGCAAAAUUGGAAACUUUACACACCGAAAGCUCAACCAACCAGAUUCUGACAUGCUGAUAGAACAGCAAGAAACUGAUUCAGACAGAAAUCAUGAGGGGGACUAUACAAACAUCAUGUCAUACGAAAGAAAUGUUACAGAAGAUGAUCCUGAAAGUGAUUGCGAAGCAGAUUACACCAAUGUGAUAUCGAAAAGAAAAAGUUCUGCCAGUGCUGACAGCGAUUCCUCCUGUAAUUAAGGAAUAUGAGAAAGCAACAACUGAGGAAGAAGGCAAGUUGGAAUGUGUGAAACAGAAUCAAAUGAGGUCAAAAAGAAGAAAAGAAAGAUUGAAUUCAAUAAAAUCAUCGCUGAUCAGAUUACUUCACAUUCCCACUUGUCUAAGGACCACUUGGUUAAUGACCUCCAUACGUCUUGAUCUGAAUAGCAGCAGAGGAGCUGAAUUCUACAGACGAAAAGAGUGACUGCCUUUGAUACGAAGAUGUCUGCUGAAUUUCACCGGCACUUUAUAAAGAAGCAGCAAAACUCUGUCUGGAAUAAACUACUAAAGGACAAGGAUAAACCUAUACAGGAAUUGAAAGCAAUUAGCCAUGUCAUGCAAAAGGAAUAGAGGCUACAUGAACAAAACUGCUUUGACACCCACUUGAUAAACUGGAUGCUUUAUUGCUACAAGGGACAAGGAUUGCCCUGCAGACAGAUUUAAGGAGUUAACUACUGCGCAGCUUUGUCUUCAAACAAAUUAAGAUCAAAUUUGACAAGGAACAAAGAAGCUACUUCUGGGUGAAAGGACUUAAAAAAAAAAUGAACCAAUCACCUUAUAGACGUGAAGGAUGAAAAUUUGUACAAGUAUCGAACACCAGAACUCCACCCAAAGCAGAACUCUGCAGAACAACGCAGAACAACUUUGCAUAAGAAUCAAACCUUGGACACUUCCAUAAACAGACCACUGUUGGUGGAAACGUGGCCAAGUUCCACUAUUAAUUGGGUAAAAGCCAAGUGGGUUGUGGUGCUUCACUUCCUUAUUUGACAGGUCUUAUUUGGGUUGCUACAUGCAAUAAAGUUUAAAUCAUUGUGUCAGUA